GACCGUAAAACAGACACGUGGAUACCCAGUGCAUAAUUAAAAAAAAAAAAAGAUAAAAUAAAAUAAGAAGGGAGCAGGAGCUGACAAAAUAGGGUAUCUACUUUUGGGUUUUCCUUAGCUGGAAAUUGGGCAAGAAAGUGCCAGAUCUGAGCUCACAUGUGUGGAUCUGCCUGUUUGGUGGCCUAGAAAGCCUAGGAAAAUUUAGAUCUAUGUGGAUCCAAACCCCACCGUUGGGAUCUAAGACCCUUCUUCUGUUUGGCAACCUAGAAAGUGUUAGAAAAGGUAGAGAAAAUUGGACGAUAAAUAGGUGGCUAUUCCUUUUUACAAAAAUAAGAAAUCAUUUCCCUUGCUUUCUUGUAAAUGGAAAUUGUAAUCACAUUUUCAGAAUUGGAGGACGGUUUCUUUGAAAAAUCAAAAAGAUUUUGGGGCCUUUUGUUUCUCAAGAAAAAAAGAAAUAAAAUGAAAGGAAAGCUGGAGAAAAUAAAUGGAAAAUAGAUAAAAAAUGAAGGAGAUCUGAUUGGUCAGGGAGCAGUAACGGCACACAACACUCAUGGGCGACGUGGUAGUGUCUAGGUGGCUUAACAUGCGGUGGUUUCAGGACUUCCACGUGAUCGAGCUUUGAGAGCUCAAGGUUAUUAUGACAUUUUGGAUAUAGAAAGAAAAAAGAUGGGUGGUACUUGGACCUGAACUAGCCUCUUCAAAUACUUAAGGAUGCAUGUGGAUGCAUUCAGAACUGCUAGGAUUUGUUUAAAAUUGGGUAGAUCUUAGAAGGAUCCAUCUUGGCCUAGCAACUAAAAUGAUCCAAGAUCAAUUAUGGGUAUGAUCCUCCCAGCAAAUCUUUGCUCAUUGAUUUAUUAGUUGAAUGUUGGUUUAAAUAAUUGUGCAUGGGGUUAAUUUGUUUAUAUGUUACAUUUUGUGUGAGCAUGAACUGAAUCUAGCAUCAAAUAAAGUAUGCCAGUUAGAUUAAAUGGGGGGCAUACAAGGACAGAAAUGGGCAUACCCUCUAAUAUUCGGAUAUGCCAAACUUCCUUCCCUUUUGGGUAGGGAGUGCUUCAUGUUGGAAUGGAAAUAGCAAGAAUUAUUAUGUUUGCUAUUGAUUUUAUGUGUUUUAGAAGCAAUCUUCUGUUGUCCUACACCCAAUCAAAUUGUUAAUUUGGUUUUCUUGGGGCUUCCUUUUGUUGUUUUAUCCUAUUCGUUGUAGAAUACAUCCUAUACAUUUAGAACUCUAUUUCAUUCUUGCUCCUUUUAAUCGUUUGCCUUAAUUCUAUUUUUCUCCAUACCAUCAAAAAGAAAAAGGAAAAAAAUCCUUGAGAAAAGGGCUUAGAGCUGCUCCUUCUCCCCUGGGAAUUUUUUUUUUUCCGGUUCAGCUCAACCGAAAAACCUCUUGAAGAUUUCUUCAUUUCUUCACCACUGCCUUCUUCACAGAUCCAGCAUUAUUUGCAACAGUGUGAGCACAAGUUCUUUUUAAUGCAACAGUUGAUUGUUUCAUAUCAUAUUCUAAUAAUAGCAUUAUUUUAAUUUCUUGGUCUUCUGUUAUUAAUAUUCUUUAAACCCCAUUUUAAUUAAUUUGGCGAACUCUUGAUUUGUAUGUUAUAUUAAGCCUAUAAACUUCAAUCUAAAUUUUCAUAUUGCAAUUAUUUUAAACUUGGAUCUCAAAAUUCUAAUAUAUGCAUACUUGGAUUUUGCUAGAAUUUUAGAAAUAUUAUGAGUUCUUGAAGAUAUGGUGAAACCACUGAAAUGGGUAUUGUGGACAUCUCUAAGUUCGGAGUAAUUUAUAUCAUUUAAUAUUGCACUUAUUAUGAAUGAUGUAGGAUUAGUUAUGCAGGGUAUGGCAACCGUCAUAUACUUUUUUAUUUUUUAUUGUUUUAAUUUUCUGGAGGUAAAAUUAUAAUUCAAGAAAAGGUAAAACGCCAACUGCAAGGAGGCAUACAGAGGCCACAAAAGGCUUGUUUCUCUGACAACAAUUAAAAGAAUGUGUAAUAAGUAGGUCUUAAGACUUAACAAAAAGAAAGUUAGAUGAUGUUCAGAGGAAAAGCAGCUUGACAUACUUCCUUGAUCUUUGGAAUGGGUCAUUUGUUAUCCUUAUAGAUUAUUUUCUUCCCCUCCUAGUAUAAUAGAAGAGAGAGUGGAGCCACUUUGCAAAUGGUUGUUCACUAUUUGCAGGAUGCAGCCAUUUUUGAACAUCAGCCAGAAAAUGAUGCUCUGGAGAUUCUGUAGUCAUCCUGCUUCUUCACUAGAUAAUAUUGAAGCAACAAGUCCGUUCCAUUAUUAAGUUCUCAAUUAUUUUUUUGGGAUAGGAUAGGUUAUUUACAUUUAAUUUAUUGAUAAACUUUUCAAUAUGUUGAUUCUUAUUGUCCAAUUAACUAUAAAAAUUAAAGUAAGAUCAAGAUGCGUAGUGGCAUGUUUGAUGUUAAAUGAAAUAUAUACUUAGGAGGAAUGGAUCUUGAAGAAUGCUAAUAUUCUAAGGGAGGUUCGAUAGCUACCUCACCUGCAGUACCUUCAUUCUUAAAUACUUUUCUCUUUCUUGAGAGUCACGAAUAUGUUGAUAACAUAUUUGUUUUAUGCAAAAUCACUGGAAAAGUAGGUUCCAAGCAUGCCCCUUCUAUUACUUUCCCAUUCUUGUGAAUGUUCGACAAUCAUCAUUGUUAUUUUGUGUAAAAAAUAUAUAUAUUUUUUAAUAGCAUUUAAAAUCUUCUUGAAAAUAGAUUUUGGACAUGACCCUCCCCCCACCCGCUUGUGUACCUUCUCAUUCUUGAGAAUUUGUUGAUGAUUAUCUUUGUUAUUUAGUUAAUAUGCCCCCUAAAAAGUAGAUUCCUAGCAUGCCUCCUCUUUCUUGUAUACUUUCUCAUUAUUGAGAAUUCCCUGAUAAUAUGGGAUUAUAAAUAUUGCGAUUAAAAUCUCAUUCUUAAAUUGAACUGUUAUCACAGAGAAUGAGAGUUUUGUGUGGGCUUUGCUGUGUCAGAAUUGUAAUAGCUAAGGUUGGGAGAGAUGUGGGUUAAUGUGAUAACAGGUCCUUGUAGAAGAUCUGUUGUCUAUGUUGAUUAAAGAAUAUACACCUUCGCUGGCUAAUGGCUAAGGACCCAGUACGAACUUCGUUUAAACUAGCAACCUUGUAAUAUACUCUCACUUGGGGAAUGCUGAACAUUGUUGAUAGGCAUGCAUACUAAUAGGUGAGAUUUUGAUAGAUAUACUAAUAGGCGGGUGCCUAUUAUCAUGCUUAAUUGGGCAAAACAUAAACAGGGCCUUAGGGUGCCUCCUAUGAUUCAUUGAGAACCUCACGGAUUUGAUUGCUAGAAAGGAGAGUGAGAAGACUCAUGGAGCAGAGCCAUGCUGAAAUACUACUGCAACGACAAGAAAGGUUGGUUCUUUCUAUGAAAGUUAUUCUAUCUUGAGUUAUUUAAUGUGGAAAUUGGGUUUUACUUUUCACUGCAGGGUCUAGGAGUUCUUUUUCAGUUAUUUAUUUAUUUAUUUAAGUGAUUGAAUAUUGAAUUAUUUGAUGAGUAGGAUAAUGAGAACAUGCUUUAGUGAUUUUGUUGUUAGCUUAGUAUAAAUUAUGCAUGGUUGAGUGUUUUGAUGAAUUUUUCCUUCAUUGGAAACUUGAACACACACAGGUAUCCCCUGUGCAAUGGUCAACUAGGAUUAGUCCCAGUGCCAUUACAACCGAGGGGCCCUUGGAACUUGGAAGUACUGUGGGGAUGAUUUCCUAAUCCCUAUUCAACAAGGGAUAAAGUAGGCAACUGGAGAGUAAACUCCUAGCCAAAACAAAGAGUAAAUUCUUAGCCAAAAUAUUCGUAGUUCGUUUGUUUGUUUUUUUCAAAUUAUUUCUUUUUUGGUUUUACCAUGUGUUGGACUAGAUAAAUGGAGCAUGCGACCAAGGUGCGUGAGGUUGUUCGCUGCUUAUUUUGUAUGCUUUUGGUGAUAUUUAAUAGUGUUUAGGUCAAUUGAUGCUUUGAUUUGAUUCAAUAAAUUGCCUGGCUUAGCUUGAGCUA